UACGUAGGGGGCGAGCGUUAUCCGGAUUUACUGGGCGUAAAGCGUGCGUAGGUGGUUGGAUAAGUCGGAUGUGAAAGCCCUGGGCUCAACCUGGGAAUGGCAUUCGAUACUGCUCGACUAGAAUUCGGUAGAGGGAGGCGGAACUCCAGGUGUAGCGGUGAAAUGCGUAGAUAUCUGGAAGAACACCGAUGGCGAAGGCAACCUCCUGGGCCUGAAUUGACACUGAGGCACGAAAGCGUGGGUAGCAAACAGG
rnacentral:rRNA from 1 species